ensembl:misc_RNA 7SK 7SK RNA
AGGCUGAGAGAGCAUCCCUCUAAUUGGAAUGGGCUCCCAAAGAUCACCAGGGUUAAUUCAGCUGAUCUGGCUGGCUAGGCAGGUGUCCCCUUCCUCUCUCACUGCUCUAUGUGUGUCCUUCCAGAAGCUGUGCACUUGGUCAAAGAGGACGACCUUCACCGAAUAGAGGAGGACCAGUAUUCGGUCUAGGGUAGCUGCGCUCCCCUGCUAGAACCUUUAAACAAGCUCUCAAGGUGUGUUCUAUUUGAAGGUAGAAUUUAAACCCAGUAAAACCUGUCCCAAAGUCUGUGUAUUU